rnacentral:rRNA from 1 species
CGUACGGCUCAGUAACACGUAGCCAAUCUACCGCAGAGAGGGGAAUAACGUUGGGAAACUGACGAUAAUGCCACAUAGGGUAAGAUCGCUGGAAUGCUUUUUACCCCAAAAGGAACGUGAAUUGGAGCGUUUACGCUCUGCGAUGAGGCUGCGUCGGAUCAGGCAGAAGGCGGGGUAACGGCCCACCAUACCUUUGACCCGUAGGGGCUAUGAGAGUAGGAGCCCCGAGAAGGGCACUGAGACAAGGGCCCUAGUGCUACGGCAUGCAGCAGGCGCGAAAACUCCACAAUGCACGAAAGCGUGAUGGGGGGAGUCUGAGUGGAGGGUUCACCCCCUCCUUUUGCUAAGUUUAAUCAGCUUGGCGAAUAAGUGCUGGGUAAGGCCGGUGGCAGCCGCCACGGUAAUACCGGCGGCACAAGUGGUGUCCACGAGUAUUGGGCUUAAAGCGUCCGUAGCUGGCUCAAACCGUCUUAUGUGAAAUGCAUGUGCUCAACACAUGCGCUUGCAUAAGAUACCUUUGGGCUAGGGAGCGGGAGAGGUUAGGAGUACUUAUAGGGUAGGGGUAGAAUCUUAUAAUCCCAUAAGGACUACCGGUGGCGAAGGCGCCUAACCAGAACGCAUCCGACAGUGAGUGACGAAGGCUAGGAGAACGAAUCGGAUUAGAUACCCGAGUAGCCCUAGCAGUAAAUUAUGCAGACAUUGGUGUUGCUUUUAUCACGAAUAAAAGCAGUACCGUAGGAAAACUGUUAAGUCUGCCGCCUGGGGAGUACGGCCGCAAGGUUGAAACUUAAAGCAAUUGGCGGGGGAGCACACAAGGGGUGGAUGCUAAGGUCUAAUUGAAUUCAACGUCGGGAACAUUACCUGGAGCGACGGCAGAAUGAAGGUCAGGCUAAAGACUUUACCUAACGAGCCGAGAGGUGUUGCAUGGCGAUCGUCAGUUCGUGGUGUGAACUAUCCGGUUAAGUCCGGUAACGAACGAGAUCCCUGUGAACAGUUGCCAUUGCUGCAGAGAUGCAGCAAGCACUCUGUUCAGACCGCCUGCGUUUAAGCAGGAGGAAGGAGGGGGCCACGGUACGUCAGUAUAGCCCAAAUCUCCAGGGCUACACGCGGCAUACAAAGGUUGGUACAAUGGGUUGCUACCCAGAAAUGGGACGCUAAUCCCCUAAAACCAGCCCCAGUUCGGAUUGAGGGUUGCAACUCACCCUCAUGAAGUUGGAAUCCCUAGUAAUCGCUUGUCACCAUCGAGCGGUGAAUGUGUCCCCGCUCCUUGCACACACCGCCUGCCAAGUCAUCCAAGUGAGGUCUUAGUGACGCAGUAUUGUAUGAUGCUGUCGAACUAAGGUUUCGUGAGGGGGGCUAAGGCAUAACAAGGUAUCCGUAGGGGAACCUGCGGAUAGAUCACCUCAAAAGGGC